AAAGUGAAACCCUAAAAGCUUUCCAGACAUCUUUCUUCGACAAUCUGCUUAAACAGACAAAGCAGCUGUUACCGUUCAUCUUUGGUUUUGUUCCUUGAUCGAAAAGUUUUCCUUUUGUUUUGUUUAGUUUCUGGGUUUUAAGUCACAUGCUUUGAUACUUUUUGCUUAUGUGAACGGUUAGUAUCCCACCAACAUCAGCGUUUUUUAGUUUUGGCUUUUCAAUUUGUGAAACUGAAACUCUGGGUUUUCACUCCUUAAGGCCGUACAUGAAAAUAUUUUAAAACAAGUCUUUGAUAAUAAUGGGUUUUAUUUUGUCUAUGAGCUUUGACGCCAUAGCUUUUUCUUACCUUUUCUGCACUUCUUCCACUUUGGAAGCCAUCGGCUUCCGGGGGAAGUUUCUUUCUCGUUUUUGAAUGUGGAACACUGCGGUCCAUCCUUCAAAAUUCUCUCUUGUUUUUCAAUAUGGAAUAAUGCAAGAAUUUGAAUUUUUUUUUAAAAAAAAAUUUGGCCGGCCACCACCCCGGCCGUAGCUAAUGUUGGUCACUCAAGGGCUCGUUUUGGGUACGGUAUUGAUGAGCCACCGGUCAGACCCACGGCGACGUUUGGCUCUCAUAUUGAAUUAACGGGCACCUAGCCCAAGCCUGUCUAUGGAGGCCGGACCAUGCGACUGACGUGUUGAACCGGACCAACACCAAGCCCAGUGCCCCCGAUGGGCUGCGCUUAGACGCCGUCUAAGCCAUGCGUCUCGGGGGCGAAGGGGAGGAGAAGAUUAUUUUAUUUUAUAUCGGUUACUUGGCUCAAGACUUGGCGAUGUGGGAUUUUGCGGGUACUUGCGGUUGAAUAAACGGGUUUCGGAGAGAAGGAAUUGGAAAUAAUCAACUAUGAUGAGGUUUGCAAGGCUGUAUCUAAUGUAUUGUUGGGAUUGAAUGAGUACGAUGGAAGUGGGAGAUACAUACUUCUCCAACUUUGGAACUUGAAGGAGAGCCUGAAAGAGGCAGUUGAGUGCACCAUCCAAGAAUUGAAGACCCAAAAUAUAGAAAGUGACAGAGCCAUAUAUGCUUGGUCCUUACUGUUAAAUAUUCUUUAGUCAUGCACUGUUGGUACUUCUGAAUCACACGUUGUAAUUAUCUAACUGCAAACUUGGGAUCAUCAAGUUAUGUCAAUUUUCUUCAUUUUUCUUCAACAUUCAGGCUCUAUCACAAUUGUUGCCAACUGUUACCAAAACUUGAUUUAAUUUUCCUUGGUAGAUACUGGAUUUCUAAUAUAGGAAAUGACUUCUCUUACUUAUCUAA